CUCCAGACUCCUACGGGAGGCAGCAGUGGGGGAUAUUGCACAAUGGGGGGAACCCUGAUGCAGCGACGCCGCGUGGGUGAAGGAGUGCUUCGGCAUGUAAAGCCCUAUCGGCAGGGAAGAAGCAAGACGGUACCUGACUAAGAAGCCCCGGCUAACUACGUGCCAGCAGCCGCGGUAAUACGUAGGGGGCAAGCGUUAUCCGGAUUCACUGGGUGUAAAGGGAGCGUAGACGGCCAUGCAAGCCUGGAGUGAAAGCCCGGGGCCCAACCCCGGGACUGCUCUGGGAACUGUGCGGCUGGAGUGCGGGAGGGGCAGGCGGAAUUCCUGGUGUAGCGGUGAAAUGCGUAGAUAUCAGGAGGAACACCGGCGGCGAAGGCGGCCUGCUGGACCGUAACUGACGUUGAGGCUCGAAAGCGUGGGGAGCAAACAGGAUUAGAUACCCCGGUA
rnacentral:rRNA from 1 species